rnacentral:misc_RNA from 1 species
AACAAGGCGUACCUGCGGACCUGCGGAGGGAUCAUUACAGAGUUCAUGCCCUCACGGGUAGAUCUCCCACCCUUGCGUAUUUAUACCUUUGUUGCUUUGGCAGGCCGCCUGGGCUCGCGCCUGGCCACCGGCUCCCGGGCUGGUGCGUGCCUGCCAGAGGAUCUCCAAACUCUAGUUAUCAGUGUUGUCUGAGUACUAUACAAUAGUUAAAACUUUUAGCAACGGAUCUCAGAUCGGAAG